rnacentral:tRNA from 1 species
GCCUAAGUGGCUAAGUUGGUUGAAAGUGAAACUUUGGCCCAGGUCAUGAUCUCCACGUUUGUGGGUUCGAACCCCACAUUGGGCU